rnacentral:rRNA from 1 species
UACGUAGGGUGCAAGCGUUGUCCGGAAUUAUUGGGCGUAAAGAGCUCGUAGGCGGUUUGUCGCGUCGAAUGUGAAAUCCCCGGGCUUAACCCGGGAACUGCCUCCGAUACGGCAUGGCUUGAGUCCGGGAGAGGGGAGCGGAAUUCCCAGUGUAGCGGUGAAAUGCGUAGAUAUUGGGAGGAACACCGGUGGCGAAGGCGGCUCCCUGGACCGGUACUGACGCUGAGGCGCGAAAGCGUGGGUAGCAAACAGG